rnacentral:rRNA from 1 species
UACGUAGGGGGCAAGCGUUGUCCGGAAUCAUUGGGCGUAAAGCGCGUGUAGGCGGCCCGGUAAGUCCGCUGUGAAAGUCGGGGGCUCAACCCUCGGAUGCCGGUGGAUACUGUCGGGCUAGAGUGCGGGAGAGGCGGAGUGGAAUUCCUGGUGUAGCGGUGAAAUGCGCAGAUAUCAGGAGGAACACCAAUUGCGAAGGCAGCUCGCUGGAACGUAACUGACGCUGAGGUGCGAAAGCGUGGGGAGCAAACAGG